rnacentral:misc_RNA from 1 species
UAUUAAAUUUUGACCAAAGGUCAUAAUAUUUAACAGACAUUCUAGUAAACUUGUGUGUGUAAAAAUAACAUAGACACAGACUGUUACAUCUGGCCUACAAUGAGUUCACAGGUGAGAUGAAAAGGCAGAGUGCACAUGCCUAAAAAAGGCCAGCAACAUCUUAAGGAUUUCAAUAAUGAUCCUUCCGCAGGUUCACCUACGGAAA